AAAUUGAAGAGUUUGAUCAUGGCUCAGAUUGAACGCUGGCGGCAGGCCUAACACAUGCAAGUCGAACGGUAACAGGAAGCAGCUUGCUGCUUCGCUGACGAGUGGCGGACGGGUGAGUAAUGUCUGGGAAACUGCCUGAUGGAGGGGGAUAACUACUGGAAACGGUGGCUAAUACCGCAUAACGUCGCAAGACCAAAGAGGGGGACUUUCGGGCCUCUUGCCAUCAGAUGUGCCCAGAUGGGAUUAGCUAGUUGGUGAGGUAACGGCUCACCAAGGCGACGAUCCCUAGCUGGUCUGAGAGGAUGACCAGCCACACUGGAACUGAGACACGGUCCAGACUCCUACGGGAGGCAGCAGUGGGGAAUAUUGCACAAUGGGCGCAAGCCUGAUGCAGCCAUGCCGCGUGUAUGAAGAAGGCCUUCGGGUUGUAAAGUACUUUCAGCGGGGAGGAAGGUGUUGUGGUUAAUAACC
rnacentral:rRNA from 1 species